CAGUAGCGUAUAUUAAAGUUGUUGCAGUUAAAAAGCUCGUAGUUGAAAUUCUGUACGGAACGACGUCUUCGGAUGAUCGAGCCGUGCAUCCGCCUGAGCAGCAUGUCGGUACUUUGUUGCCGGUAUGUGAUCAGGCACUUUACCUUGAGCAAAUUAGAGUGUUCCAGGCAGGCGUCAGCCUGAAUAGUCCAGCAUGGAAUAAUAGAAGAGGACUGAAAACCACUGUUGGUGUUGUGGUAAUCAGUAAUGAUUAAUAGGGAUAGUUGGGGGCAUUCGUAUUUAAUUGUCAGAGGUGAAAUUCUAUGAUUUAUUAAAGACGAACCUAUGCGAAAGCAUUUGCCAAGGAUGUUUNCAUUA
rnacentral:rRNA from 1 species